rnacentral:rRNA from 1 species
GACGAACGCUGGCGGCGUGCCUAAUACAUGCAAGUCGAGCGGUUCCUUCGGGGAUAGCGGCGGACGGGUGAGUAACACGUAGGCAACCUGCCUGCAAGAUUGGGAUAACUAUCGGAAACGAUAGCUAAGACCGGAUAGCUGGUUUCUCUGCAUGGAGAGAUCAUGAAACACGGGGCAACCUGUGGCUUGCAGAUGGGCCUGCGGCGCAUUAGCUAGUUGGUGAGGUAACGGCUCACCAAGGCGACGAUGCGUAGCCGACCUGAGAGGGUGAACGGCCACACUGGGACUGAGACACGGCCCAGACUCCUACGGGUGGCUG